AAAAAAAAAAAAGAAGGUAAAAGCACAAAAUAAAUAAAAAGAAAAAUGACAACACAAUGUCAGGCGGAGUCGAACCCGCGACCUUCAAGUAAAACUAAUGGACUUCAACCGCUGGGCCGCGUUAGAAGUUCAACACAUUUCAUUACAUUAUACUAGGUAUUUUAUUUAUCUAAACUUUAUAGCAAAGAAAACUAAUCAGAAUUUUCCGGAUCAAGUAUGGGUUCAGUGGGUUCACCACUGAGUAUAUAUUUUAAGUACAAUUGGAGAGUUAAAAAAAAAAGUUGAGAUGCAUUAUUAUGAUGUUGGAUUUGUUGUAGGAGGGAGUACAUGUUCAACAAAGUAGCAUAAAGAUCUAUACAUAACUUUCAUGAGAUACAGUUAAAUUUCAGAAAUGGAAAAAUCUUUAUGGCAUUUUAAUAACUUGCAGAAAAUAUUUAAUACAAAAAAAGUGCAAUAUUGUGGUAUCAGGUACAUACUCUUCAACUGUCAACUGUCAUAGUGUCAAGACUCAAGAAGCUAUUGAGAAGCUAAACCAUGUUUGAAGGUGGUUUAUGCUUGUGAUUGUCCUUCAAUGAAAUUCAACUGUCUUUAAUCAUCUGGCUGCUGGAAAUCAAUAUAUAGUGAAGUUCCUGUGAACAAGAACGUGAAGUGAAGGCCAAACUUUUGCAAAUGAUGGAAGCACGGUUUUCUACUGAAAUCAGAUAGUACAAAGCAUUCUCAAGAUCUACACUUUGAUUAUAGCUAUCAUCAGACAUAAACUCUAUAAGUUCAAUGCCAACAUCCAAGGACACUGGGGUUCAUCAAUGAAGAUCUGACAUCUGAUGAGCUGUUUUGCUGCUGAUGAUGAUGAUGGCUUGCGUGACAUCAUUAAACGACCUUGAAAUCAUGAUUUUUGGAUUCUGACUAUAGCUUGGUUUGGGGAAACAUGAAUGGAGGUUUAUUAUUGCCUUGAAUUGUUGUGUAUUGAUUUCUUCAUCUGCAUAAUACCUACUCAUUUUGUUAAUUUUCACUUUUGAUUUGGGGACAAGUCAUCUAGAUGCGCCUAUAACUUUUAUUCACCGAAAAUUUAAU